UCUUUAACUGCAGACAUCAUGCUUAUGUUUUGUUUUUUAACAGAAAGCCUGUGAGAAGACUGUUUCUGUGAUGCAGCAUGUCAUUAAGAGGACUAUUACCUACGCCAAGGAGGCAGCUGGUCCUGACCGGAGACCAAGUCCUGCAGAGCUGGAGCUGAGAAUGGUGCAGAGUAAAGCAGACAUUGAGGAUCCAGAAAUAACUGCUGUGGUCCUGUAGGGUUUCACUUCCAAUUUAAUUUAGACUGCCUUAUGCUCAUACAUGCAAUAACAAUCUUGCUUCAGAGGACACAAAGUCAUUAACAGGUAGAGCAGGAACGACUUGUGAAUGAAUGAAUGAAUGAAUGGCUGACUGACUGUGACUGAACCACACAUGUAAAAUCAUUACGAGAUAAUAACCAAAUACUAACUUUAUGCAAUGUUAAAAUAUAUCUUGGAUUUCAGUACUGUAUAGAGAUGGAGAUGUGCUGCUUGUAACGUUCUAGAAACACUGAUCAUGAUGUAUGCUGCUAGAAUGGGAUUUUUUUUCCCAAGUAUAAUGUAAUUGAGAGACAGCUACUAUAAUACAUUCACAAUUACUUUCUCAUUGUAAAUGAGACGACAGGUUAAGAUCACUACCUGAUUGGAGUAGGACAUGAUUGCUUAUAAUGUUUAAUGCCUGAGCACAUUCAUAUUAAUCUCAAUGUACAUAAGUUAAAUCCAUGUAACU